rnacentral:rRNA from 1 species
UACGUAGGUGGCGAGCGUUGUCCGGAUUUACUAGGUGUAAAGGGCGCGUAGGCGGGAAGGCAAGUCAGAUGUGAAAUCUCUGGGCUUAACCCAGAAACUGCAUUUGAAACUGUUUUUCUUGAGUGUCGGAGAGGUAGAUGGAAUUCCUAGUGUAGCGGUGAAAUGCGUAGAUAUUAGGAGGAACACCAGUGGCGAAGGCGAUCUGCUGGACGAUAACUGACGCUGAGGCGCGAAGGCGUGGGGAGCAAAC